GACGAACGCUGGCGGCGUGCUUAACACAUGCAAGUCGAACGGAAAGGCCCUGCGUGUGUGGGGUGCCCGAGGGGCGAACGGGUGAGUAACACGUGAGUAACCUGCCCUUGACUUUGGGAUAACUUCAGGAAACUGGGGCUAAGACCGGACAGGAGCUCCUGCUGCAUGGAGGGGGGUGGAAAGUUUCGGCGGUUGGGGAUGGACUCGCGGCUUAUCAGCUUGUUGGUGGGGUAGGGGCUUACCAAGGCUUUGGCGGGUAGGCGGCCGGAGAGGGUGGCCGGCCACCUUGGGCCUGCGAUACGGCCCAGACUCCUACGGUAGGCAGCAGUGGCGAAUCUUGCACAAUGGGCGGACGCCUGAUGCAGCAACGCCGCGUGCGUGAUGACGGCCUUCGGGUUGUAAACCGCUUUCGCCUGUGACGAAGCGUGAGUGACGGUACUGGGUAAAGAAGCACCGGCUAACUACGUG
rnacentral:rRNA from 1 species